UACGUAGGGUGCAAGCGUUGUCCGGAAUUAUUGGGCGUAAAGAGCUUGUAGGCGGUUUGUCGCGUCUGCUGUGAAAUUUCGGGGCUCAACCCCGAACUUGCAGUGGGUACGGGCAGACUAGAGUGUGGUAGGGGAGACUGGAAUUCCUGGUGUAGCGGUGAAGUGCGCAGAUAUCAGGAGGAACACCGAUGGCGAAGGCAGGUCUCUGGGCCACUACUGACGCUGAGAAGCGAAAGCAUGGGGAGCGAACAGG
rnacentral:rRNA from 1 species